rnacentral:rRNA from 1 species
GACGUAGGAUGCGAGCGUUGUCCGGAUUUAUUGGGCGUAAAGAGUUCGUAGGUGGUUCAUUAAGUUUGGUGUUAAAGACCGGGGCUCAACCUCGGGACCGCACUGGAUACUGGUGGACUAGAGUGCAGUAGAGGCAAGCGGAAUUCCAGGUGUAGCGGUGAAAUUCGUAGAUAUCGAGAGGAACACCGGUGGCGAAGGCGGCCAACUGGACAGAUACUGACGCUGAGACACGAAAGCGUGGGGAGCAAACAGG